AUGAAUUGCCUCAGCUGGAAUUGUCGCGGGCUUGGGAACCCAGCGACAGUUCACGAGCUUCGCAGUGUGGUGAAGCAAGAAGGGCCCGGUCUCUUAUUUCUGAUGGAGACUAAGAUUGCGGCAAAAAGGGUACAAAGUCUGUAAAAUCUUCUGGGCUUUGCGGGCUGUUUUGCAAUUGAUAGCGAUGGUCUAAGCGGUGGCAUUGGUCUAUUCUGG
rnacentral:rRNA from 1 species